UCGGGGUCUGAGGUCUCUGGCACAGCAGGGAGGUCCCAGUCCACAGAGCUGUGCCUUGCAACAGAGCUGUCAGUGUCCUAUCUAACAUCUCCUGCGUCGUCAAGGGAGAACACGACCCCAUUCCCAUGCACCUGACCUCAUGGGGUAUGGGACCCACUGACUCUGCAGUCCAACAGCUGCAGGUGAAGCCGGGCAGGACGUCCAUGCUGCUGUGUGCCCGGCCUGCCCAUGGUGAGGCCCAAAUGCAACAGAGGACACGGGCAGGCCGAGGACCUGGUUUUAGUUCAGGAGGCCCCUGGCAGCACCCAGGUCUUCCAAGUUCCCAGGGAAUUGAAAGAAAGGCUUGAGACCUACUGGAGAGGACAGGACCCUUCUGCCCCACCUGGGGACACUGGAGGAUGGGACCUCCCCCACCCCGGUCUUCCUCACUUCCACAUUUCUGGGGCAGGUAGGCUGUGUUUAGUGAAGGAGCCUUCUUCCAGAUCUGAGGUUACAUGGAUGCUCCGUGCACAGAACUGGGCUGCGUGGGCUCCAGCAGGUGCUCCCGUCACACAUGCAGUGCCUCUGGAAAGUUCCAUGGGGAAGUGACUCAGAGAGUUAUCAAGGUCACCCCAACGAGUGACCGGUGCUUCACAGCUGUCCUGAGUGACAGGGCUCUGAGCCGUGUGCUGGGCAUAGGAGACCCUGUGACCCCCGACCUGCACAUUACCUGGGUCCCACCAUCAGAAGUCCCGUGGGAACCCCAGGUCCUGCAGGCGAGUGUGCGUCUUCCCCAGGGCCCACUGCACAAUGACAAUGGCCCAGGGACCAGGCCCUGUCAGGGGUCAAGAGGUGGCCUGGGCGAGGCCCCCAGGAGGCUCGGGUUUCUGACUGCACUGCUGAGCUCCUGACCGGGCCCUGUGCAAUGUCUGCGGCCUCUCCACACUGGCAUUUCAGCUUUGAGAGCUAUGGAAGGAGCAGUCCCUCUGGGAGGCUUGGCCUGGCUCCCAGCCUUAGGCUUGUCUCCAGCCUGGGAUCAGGAGGGCAAUGGAUAGCAAUGACAGCAUAGCAGAGGGCUGGUGGGCAGGGAGCUUGUGAAUAAGGACAGGGUCCAGGGUCCUGGUGACCUGGAUUCCCACGGGAGGCAUGAGGCUGUGGUUGGGGAAGGGUCUUGGGGCAUCCACCAUCUCAGGCUUUCCUGUGCAGGGACCAAAGUGGUCAUGGGCAGGAUGUCCCAGGGCCUCCCGGUCACCUGAGCUUGUCCUGACCCUGAGAGCAGGGCUGGGCCAGGCUGGCAGGCUUGUCGCCCCGGGUGGCCCCAGUGGGAGAGAGGGAGAGAUCUUCCAUCUGCUACUUUACUCCCCUACUUUACUCCCUACUUUUACUCUGGCAACAGCCAGAGCUGGGCCAGGCCACAGCCAAGAGCUAGAAUCUUCUUCCAGGUCUCCCAUGUGGGUGGCAGGCGCCCAAACACUUGGGCUAUCUUCUGCUGCUUUCUCAGGCCAUCCCAUAGUCCAAAGAUUUCUCUACCGCAUUCCUGGAUCUGCGUUGGCCCAGCAGGAAAGGGAGAAGCCAGAGGGAAGGGACUGCCCUGACUUUUAAGGUCAGGAACAGAGCCGUGCGCACAUUGCUCCAUUCACCUCGUGAGUGCCCACCCGAAUCUGGUGGUGUAGCCCACCCAACAACCGGGAAGGCUGGAAAUGUAGUCUCCAUUCUGGGCGGCUAGAUGCCCCGCUAAAAUGCGGGGCCUCAAAGUUUGCAAGAACAGGGAAAUGAUGACUAAGGGGGCACAGCCAGCAGUCCCUGUGCUCCCAGAGCGAGGAGGAACGGGACUCGAUCCCCUAUCUGAACAGAGGAGAGGGAGGGGCAGGCGGCAAGGAGAACCACAUCAACUCACAUGGCGGAAGCUGACUGCACGGGCAUGAAGGCUGGUAGGACCUGGAGCAGACCCCACUCUCUCCUUGCUACACAUCCUGUCCAUUUCUAGAAAGCAACACUUAGGAACAAGAAACUAGCACACAGCACGAUACAUACGAUGAGUGAGCACUCUGACUGCAUUCGCUAGGAUGGCUCUCAGGGAGAAGCUAUGGUGCUUACUUAGAGAUUCUCUUGAGGAGUCAUGGGAGGUGCUUGGGAACAAGGAUUGGCAGGACUCUGAGAAACACAAGCGGUGCCAUGGUGGGAAGCACCCAGGAACCACACCGCAUGGGCUGGGCCGGGGUCCCCACGCCCUGCACCCCAGAGGAGCUGAUAUCAGGGGACAAUGGCUGCCUCCCUCUGUCCCUGUGUCCCUCAGACAGAAUGCCAAGGGCUGGGCCCACCCAGGACAGGAAGUAGUGAGAGGGAGGUGGGGAUGGAGGAGGGCGGGGCCCGCCUCUCCCACCAUUCACUGGGCAUGGCUGCUGUCCUGGCCUCCCUGAGACCCUCAGGGUGGGGCCAUGACCCAGAAUCCCAAGCCAGGGGCAGGGGCAACCAAGGGGCCCAGUGUUGGAGGUAGAGAGAACGCUGUGCAUGGCGUCCCACAAGGCAUUUCGACAUCAGGAGCUGUGCUGGGCUGCUGCUGCUCUCAGUGGACAUGGAUGAGGAAUGUGACGUCUCUGGGGUGGUCCAAGCAUCAUCAUCACAGCCUGUGUGCAUCAGCAUGGGGCUGGAUUGGAAGUGGAGUAACUGGGACACGAACUGGCGCCUACACAGGAGUUACCCACUACGCCACCGUGCAGGUUCCCGAAGUGGUCUUGUUGUACCUUCCCACCCAGAGUCUACCUGGAGCACCCCCUUGCUGGCAGGUCCCCAGGACUUCCUAAGGCACACAGAGUGGCCUCUCUGUGAGCCCAGCUGUUGGGAGCAGCCAGAGGAGGAGAGCAGACCAAGCCUUUGGGCCCGAAGAGAUGUGGAGGGACUGCUGGCUCCUGGACAGCUUCAGCCAGGCUGGGGCCCAGCCCAAGGCUCCAGGCCUCUGCAUCCCUCAGCAUCCUUGUCUGAGUCCUGCAGGUCUCCGUGGUCCUGCUCAGCUGCAGAUCUCCACCCAGGGUCACAAGUAGCCCCCUUCCCCACAGCAAAAUAAUCAGAGUCCAAGCGUUGUCCCCUGUCUGUGGAUGGCACGGCACGUGCACUGACACCCACCUGCACACACAUGCACAGAUGUCCACACACACAUAUGCAGACACAACUGUAUACACACACGUGCUCACACACAUGUUGACGCACACACACAUGCACUGGGUUCUACGUUGCACUCUCCUGGAUUUAUAGGUGAAGAAUUUUUAUGUAGAUCUUCUGCCAUUUUCUUUCCCAUGGACACUUUAUUCUUUUUCACAAGCAGUUCCAGGUGGCUGGGAGCCUCCAACACUGGGCCCCUCUGUCAUCCCCGCCCCUUGCUUGGGAUUCUGGGCCAUGGCCCCACCCUGAGGGUCUCAGGGAGGCCAGGACAGCAGCCAUGCCCAGUGACUGGUGGGAGAGGCGGGCCCCACCCUCCUUCAUCCCCACUUCCCUCUCACUACUUUCUGCCCUAGGUGGGCCCAGCCCUUGGCACUCUGGCUGAGGGACACAGGGACAGAGGGAGGCAGCCAUUGUCCCCUGACAUCAGCUCCUGUGGGGUGCAGGGUGUGGGACCCCGGCCCCACCCAUGAGGGCAACUCCCCCUGCCCUGGGGGCCUUCAUCCAUUGAUGAAAUGUCCUGGCAGCUCUGGAGUCUGGGCGGUAGGCCACUGGGGCAGUGGACACUGGACGACCUCUGUGUCUCUCCUAGUCUCUCUGUAGCUCUGUUGUUAAUAAGGGGGAAAGGGUGCGGAACUCCUCUUUGUGGGUUUCUGGGUGUUUGUGUGUGCGUGUGAGCUAGGGGGUUCCCCAGGUGAGACAUCAGCUCCCUAGCCGUCAUGAAAACAUGACGCUCCCCCUCCCCCUGCUACUAGAAUGGCUCACGGGACGGGGACUGAGGAUUUAGAUGUUGGCAAGAGCGUGGAGAGAACCCAAUAGUGUGUACUUCCGGCCGCUGUGUGUGGGCCUUCCUUUCUGGUUUGGGGGUGCUGCCCUGAGCACAGAGAAUGGGACAAUAAUACUCACCUCAGCCAGAGGAACUGUGAAGCUCAGAAAUAAGUCCCUUUUAAAAUAUCAAUUAACCAAUUAAGGUGUCAGGUAUUCUGUAAUAGCAACAGAUCUGAGUGGCCUAAACAAUUUCUUCCCAGCCCAGCCUGGGAAGUUAGCGCUGGAGGAAGGUAUCUCUGGCACCACAUGCAUUGAAGAAGAGAUGGUAUCCUGUUACAAAACCAGGAGUGUCAGUGACAACCAUGUGUCUGAGGAUACAGACAAUACAGAAAAAUAUCCUGGUCCCAGGUGGGUCACUGGGCCUCUCUGAACUUCAGCUUCUUCAUCCACCAAUUUAGUACAAUGGUAAUACCUUCCCUACUGAUUCUGCCAUGGUGUUGAUAAGAUCAAAUGAGAUGUAUA